rnacentral:rRNA from 1 species
GACGAACGCUGGCGGCGUGCUUAACACAUGCAAGUCGAACGGAAAGGCCCUGCUUUUGUGGGGUGCUCGAGUGGCGAACGGGUGAGUAACACGUGAGUAACCUGCCCUUGACUUUGGGAUAACUUCAGGAAACUGGGGCUAAUACCGGAUAGGAGCUCCUGCUGCAUGGUGGGGGUUGGAAAGUUUCGGCGGUUGGGGAUGGACUCGCGGCUUAUCAGCUUGUUGGUGGGGUAGUGGCUUACCAAGGCUUUGACGGGUAGCCGGCCUGAGAGGGUGACCGGCCCACAUGGGACUGGAGUUACGGCCCGGACUCCUACGGGGGCAACAGUGGGGAAUUUUGCCACAAGGGCCGGAGGCUGAUGGCGCCAACCCCGGUGCGGGAUGGAGGCCUUUCGGUUGGAAACCGCUUUUCGCCGUUGACGAGGCUGGGGGGACGGUAUGGGGUAAGGAGGCACGGCUUAAUUAGUG